UACAGAGGUCUCAAGCGUUGUUCGGAUUCAUUGGGCGUAAAGGGCGCGCAGGCGGCUGCUCAAGUCAGGCGUGAAAGGCCUGGGCUCAACCCGGGAAUUGCGCUUGAGACUGGGCUGGCUUGAGUGCGGGAGAGGAUGGUGGAAUUCCCAGUGUAGAGGUGAAAUUCGUAGAUAUUGGGAAGAACACCGGUGGCGAAGGCGGCCAUCUGGACCGCAACUGACGCUGAGGCGCGAAAGCGUGGGGAGCAAACAGG
rnacentral:rRNA from 1 species